GGCAAUCUUUCCUAUUCGUCUCUGUAGCAUAUGUCAACCGGUUGUCAAGCAUGCAAAUGUGAGAGGUUGAAAAAUUGAUUAUUCUGAGAUGCAGAGGAAAAAAAAGAUUUCUUCUGUUGAUGCACUGCAGCUUUUGAUCAAUUUACGACCGAACGUCUUCCAGGUAGACUGUCCAAAACAUGAGUGAUCUUACUCAAUGAAAUUCUAUGGAACAAUAACUCCGUCAGAUUUGAUAUUCACGAAGGUUUUGCCCGCCUACGGAUUAUCCUACCAUCGAUUUCGAAAGUAUCGCAAGAAAAGCCUACGAAAAGUUCCUGUGCAGUGCUGUUUGCCAGAUACCCUUAAAAAUUCAGCUCGGGCCACUUCCAGAAGAAGAUCUAACCCGGAGCAAGAUUUCACGUCGUUUGACAGACGGUUUCGUCAAGUACUCGCACUGGGCAAAGAAACCGCACCCAGACCGGCUCGCCCUCGUCUUUGACAACGGACUUUAAAUGAAUAUAUGACUUUAGGACACUCGUCCCUCGGGACUACCUAACCGUGACCACCUGCUUCCGUGACUUCGCACUUCCUGUCCUAACUGAAUUUCCGCUUUAAACUGCCUGCCGAAGCCCAACGCCCAACGUAUUACUUUUCGCAGCUAAGCUGCUGCAGAACGAAUGUCAAGCGAGUGGGACGUGCGUAUGAAACACGUGACUGGCAAGAUCUGCUUUAUGUUAAUGUCAGUGAUACCAAGUUCUCAUUCACACACGUGUAAAUAAAUUUUACCCAUUGGUACGUCUCUACUAAAUCCCUAUUGAUGGAAAUUGUCGUCAGCAGAUACGUGAUGUGUCUGCAUCCGUAAUCCUCGACUCUCCUGUACAGUCUCAACCUCUUGGCACGCGG